UACGGAGGGAGCUAGCGUUGUUCGGAAUUACUGGGCGUAAAGCGUGCGUAGGCGGUUAUUCAAGUCAGAGGUGAAAGCCCGGGGCUCAACCCCGGAACUGCCUUUGAAACUAGAUAGCUAGAAUCUUGGAGAGGUCAGUGGAAUUCCGAGUGUAGAGGUGAAAUUCGUAGAUAUUCGGAAGAACACCAGUGGCGAAGGCGACUGACUGGACAAGUAUUGACGCUGAGGCACGAAAGCGUGGGGAGCAAACAGGG
rnacentral:rRNA from 1 species